CCUACGGGAGACAGCAGUGAGGAAUAUUGGUCAAUGGACGAGAGUCUGAACCAGCCAAGUAGCGUGAAGGAUGACUGCCCUAUGGGUUGUAAACUUCUUUUAUAUGGGAAUAAAAUGUUCCACGUGUGGGAUUUUGUAUGUACCAUAUGAAUAAGGAUCGGCUAACUCCGUGCCAGCAGCCGCGGUAAUACGGAGGAUCCGAGCGUUAUCCGGAUUUAUUGGGUUUAAAGGGAGCGUAGGUGGAUUGUUAAGUCAGUUGUGAAAGUUUGCGGCUCAACCGUAAAAUUGCAGUUGAAACUGGCAGUCUUGAGUACAGUAGAGGUGGGCGGUAUUCGUGGUGUAGCGGUGAAAUGCUUAGAUGUCGCGAAGAACUCCGAUUGCGAAGGCAGUUCACUGGACUGCAACUGACACUGAGGCUCGAAAGUGUGGGUAUCAAACAGGAUUAGAUACCCGGGUAGUC
rnacentral:rRNA from 1 species